rnacentral:misc_RNA from 1 species
GAUGAAGAACGCAGCGAAAUGCGAUAAGUAAUGUGAAUUGCAGAAUUCAGUGAAUCAUCGAAUCUUUGAACGCACAUUGCGCCCGCCAGCAUUCUGGCUGGCAUGCCUGUUCGAGCGUCAUUUCAACCCUCGACCUCCCCUUGGGGAAGUCGGCGUUGGGGACCGGCAGCAUACCGCCGGCCCCGAAAUGGAGUGGCGGCCCGUCCGCGGCGACCUCUGCGUAGUAAUCCAACCUCGCACCGGAACCCCGACGUGGCCACGCCGUAAAACCCCCAACUUUCUGAACGUUGACCUCGGAUCAGGUAGGAAUACCCGCUGAACUUAAGCAUAUCAAUAAGCGGAGGA